GACUACAGGGGUAUCUAAUCCCGUUCGCUCCCCUGGCUUUCGUGCCUCAGCGUCAGUUAUUCCCCAGUGUGCCGCUUUCGCCUCCGGUGUUCCUGCCAAUAUCAACACAUUUCACCGCUCCACUGGCAGUUCCGCACACCCCUGAAAUACUCUAGCAAUUCAGUUUCAAACGCAAUGCCUCAGUUGAGCUCAGGCAUUUCACAUCUGACUUGAAUCGCCGCCUACGCACCCUUUAAGCCCAGUGAUUCCGAAUAACGUUCGCACAGUACGUGUUACCGCGGCUGCUGGCACGUACUUAGCCCGUGCUUCUUUUGAGGCUCUGUCAACCUCGAGGGAGAACCCUCGAGGAUUUCAUCCCCUCCGAAAGCGGUUUACAACCCAAGGGCCUUCAUCCCGCACGCGGCGUCGCUCCGUCAGACUUUCGUCCAUUGCGGAAGAUUCCCCACUGCUGCCUCCCGUAGG
rnacentral:rRNA from 1 species